AUUGAACGCUGGCGGCAUGCCUUACACAUGCAAGUCGAACGGUAACAGGUCUUCGGAUGCUGACGAGUGGCGAACGGGUGAGUAAUACAUCGGAACGUGCCUAGUAGUGGGGGAUAACUACUCGAAAGAGUGGCUAAUACCGCAUGAGAUCUACGGAUGAAAGCAGGGGAUCGCAAGACCUUGUGCUACUAGAGCGGCCGAUGGCAGAUUAGGUAGUUGGUGGGAUAAAAGCUUACCAAGCCGACGAUCUGUAGCUGGUCUGAGAGGACGAUCAGCGACACUGGGACUGAGACACGGCCCAGACUCCUACGGGAGGCAGCAGUGGGGAAUUUUGGACAAUGGGCGAAAGCCUGAUCCAGCAAUGCCGCGUGCAGGAUGAAGGCCUUCGGGUUGUAAACUGCUUUUGUACGGAACGAAAAGCCCCGGGUUAAUACCCUGGGGUCACGACGGUACCGUAAGAAUAAGCACCGGCUAACUACGUGCCAGCCGCCGCAGUAA
rnacentral:rRNA from 1 species